rnacentral:tRNA from 1 species
GCCGGGAUGGCGGAAUUGGUAGACGCACGGGACUUAAAAUCCUGUGAACGUAAGUUCGUGCGGGUUCGAUUCCCGCUCUCGGCACCA